rnacentral:rRNA from 1 species
UGAGUAACACGUGGGCAAUCUGCCCUUCACUCUGGGACAAGCCCUGGAAACGGGGUCUAAUACCGGAUACGACCUGCCAAGGCAUCUUGGUGGGUGGAAAGCUCCGGCGGUGAAGGAUGAGCCCGCGGCCUAUCAGCUUGUUGGUGAGGUAACGGCUCACCAAGGCGACGACGGGUAGCCGGCCUGAGAGGGCGACCGGCCACACUGGGACUGAGACACGGCCCAGACUCCUACGGGAGGCAGCAGUGGGGAAUAUUGCACAAUGGGCGAAAGCCUGAUGCAGCGACGCCGCGUGAGGGAUGACGGCCUUCGGGUUGUAAACCUCUUUCAGCAGGGAAGAAGCGAAAGUGACGGUACCUGCAGAAGAAGCGCCGGCUAACUACGUGCCAGCAGCCGCGGUAAUACGUAGGGCGCAAGCGUUGUCCGGAAUUAUUGGGCGUAAAGAGCUCGUAGGCGGCUUGUCGCGUCGGUUGUGAAAGCCCGGGGCUUAACCCCGGGUCUGCAGUCGAUACGGGCAGGCUAGAGUUCGGUAGGGGAGAUCGGAAUUCCUGGUGUAGCGGUGAAAUGCGCAGAUAUCAGGAGGAACACCGGUGGCGAAGGCGGAUCUCUGGGCCGAUACUGACGCUGAGGAGCGAAAGCGUGGGGAGCGAACAGGAUUAGAUACCCUGGUAGUCCACGCCGUAAACGGUGGGCACUAGGUGUGGGCAACAU